rnacentral:rRNA from 1 species
AGAGCGAACGCUGGCGGCAGGCCUAACACAUGCAAGUCGAGCGCCCCGCAAGGGGAGCGGCAGACGGGAGAGUAACACGUGGGAACGUGCCCUUUGGUUCGGAACAACACAGGGAAACUUGUGCUAAUACCGGAUAAGCCCUUACGGGGAAAGAUUUAUCGCCAAAGGAUCGGCCCGCGUCUGAUUAGCUAGUUGGUGAGGUAACGGCUCACCAAGGCUACGAUCAGUAGCUGGUCUGAGAGGAUGAUCAGCCUCACUGGGACUGAGACACGGCCCAGACUCCUACGGGAGGCAGCAGUGGGGAAUAUUGGACAAUGGGCGCAAGCCUGAUCCAGCCAUGCCGCGUGGGUGAUGAAGGCCCUAGGGUUGUAAAGCCCUUUCGGCGGGGAAGAUAAUGACGGUACCCGCAGAAGACGCCCGGCUAACUCGUGCCAGCAGCCGC